UAGUGGCAAAACCGGAUUUGUAACAACCAGAAAAUACAUGGCCCAAACUUGCACUUUUGAAUCUGCAAUCCUUUAAUAAGAAGUAGGUGGAAUACAGACAGGAGUAAAGAAAACCCUUUCAAGGACAUUCUCGCCACAGCGACAGACAAGAACCACAGAGCCCUGGAGGAAGGAGCCACAACCGACAGCAACACGAGGACAAGUGCUAACCGGGCAGAAGGAAAUAUUUCUGAGCUGGCUCACCUCAGUGAUCAUGGAAUCACUGGUCAAAACGGAGAUGUAUGAGAACUUCAGGAGCCUAGAAUGCUGGGCCACUGUGCGGAUAAGAACUGCUCUGAAGGGUUGCCUAGACUCUAUGUGACCGAGACAUAAGCUAUUUAGAAUGAGCUCAAUAUCUUCUAAUCAAUCCAAUCGGCCCAAACCUACCCAUGUGUGCUUUUAGGGGAUUUAGAAUACUUCUGACACCAAGCAGAUUUCACAACUAGAGGGAGAAUGCCAAGAUCCUACCUGAGGAGCAGGUGACUGCAAAAAAAGUUGUUAAAUGAUACUACUUCUUGAUGUAAAGACUACAAAAUGGAACAUGAAAUUUCCUUUGAGACUCAUGAGAUGCCAGCAUCUGAUGUAGCUAAUCCAAGAAAAAGUCCCAGGGUUUAUGUGAGGACUUCCCACCAAACUGAAAUGCAACUGAAGAACCAUCGGCCUCGCAGGCAGCCUGGGCUGUGGAAAUACUGCCCUUGUUUCUACCUUUGUAGAAAUCAGUCUUCACAUCAGUGCAUUUCUAGAACAUUUUUCUCAUUCACUGCCAGCUCCCAUCCCAACCCCAGUUGAUCCUGCACCAUGGGCACAAAGAUGAACAGGACCCUAGAGGCACUUAAGUCCAAGAGACAGGCACAUAAACCAGCGAUGGCAGCCCAGGGUUGAAGAGGCCUACAUAGAAAUCUGCACCUGGCGUCAUGGCAAUACCCACAGAAUCUAUCCUCCAGGACAGUAAGGAAGUCAUCUAUUUCACUCACUGUUUGUCUUACAAUCUCCCAAAAAAGAACAAUGACACCUCUCUUCUGGGUUGUACAGCAAGAACAACCUGUGAUUGUGUGCUGUGAUUCAUUCAACCACAGGAGAUGGAGGCUUCCAGAAAUGAAGGGACAGAGAGCAGCUACUUGAGCUUUACCAAGUCUUCCUGCCUACAACUACCAGGGCCCAGUAAUACACACAGAGGACCCUGGCUGCUCCUGCUCUCUGAAAGUGGGGGUGGGGGGGGCUGAUCUUAUGAAUGGUCAAGGCCAUGGAGAAGGGCCAGUUCACUUGCUCUUUGGGGUGGAAUACAAAGGUGUGUGGGGAGUAGCAGGUGAGGGGCUCUGCCCGUAGCCAGGAUUGGCCUAUCUGAGCAGGAAACUAUUCCAAGAUGGAAAGGUGUCCUAACCCCCUUCUUUCCUCGCAGCUGAGAUGAUGAGCCACUUUCUUUCCUCACUGGAAACACUGAAGGGCCAGUUUCUGUCUGUUUCCUAAAAACACUGCAGUUGGGUAAUUUCCAUUUGCAAACAAACAGGAUUUAUACCAAGAGGUUUGCAGAUACUACAUGUUCUGUCUUUGGGCCACAUAGAGCCUAUUUUCUGAUUAAGCGGCACAUAAAUCUUGGAGUAAAUUGCUUAAAGGCUAUGAUCACAGCAUAUUAAGUGCAGCAUUAUUUCCACGAGAACUCAUUUGGGGAAAUGCCAGAGGGUCGUCCCAUUUUCUGACAGUGACCUUAUAGCAUCACUGUUUUCCUCAGUAUCCGGCACUCUGCAAGUACAUGAUGAUGAGUGAGAGCACUGCUCAUACCCGAGGCUGGGGGAUCAGGGGAGCUGGGAACACUAGGAACUGGCUGGGUCACUAAGAGGAGGGGCACUAUGGAUAUUCAGGAAGAGGAGAACAUGUGAGCAAACACAGAGUGGAGGCAGCGUGGCUGACAGAAGCCACUUCAUCAGGAAAUACACAAGGGCAGGGC